UACGAAGGGGGCUAGCGUUGCUCGGAAUUACUGGGCGUAAAGGGCACGUAGGCGGCUUGCUAAGUCAGGGGUGAAAUCCUGGAGCUCAACUCCAGAACUGCCUUUGAUACUGGCGAUCUCGAGUCCGGGAGAGGUGAGUGGAACUGCGAGUGUAGAGGUGAAAUUCGUAGAUAUUAGGAAGAACACCAGUGGCGAAGGCGGCUCACUGGCCCGGUACUGACGCUGAGGCGCGAAAGCGUGGGGAGCAAACAGG
rnacentral:rRNA from 1 species